AUCAGGGAUGGUCAAAGCGGUGGGAUCGUUCCAUCUAGAGCCUCCACGAUCACCUGGACGAAUGAAAAUUCCAGAACCUCCACGAUUGGCCUUGCGUCCCUGUGUCCAUCGUUCCCCAACCUCCCACGUUUUCUCGAUUUGGUCCACCACUCCUCCACUACAGCCGUGAGCACCAGAGAUUCGGCCACAAUGCCCAAAAGGUAUGGCGAGGUUGAGCUCGGUGCCGGGAUCCAGCACCGGCGCACAGGAUGCCUGCCGAGCGGGGCGGUCGCCGGUCGCAAGGAUCGAGGCGGAUGGACGGCGCCGCGAGCUGCCCCGGCGGACGCCUCAUGCGCUAUAGGAGCAGGUCGAGAGGGUGCGCUCAGCCGACGUCUCCUUCCUCCUGUCGUCUUCCACUCUUCCCUCCCAUGGUCGAUGCCCACUCCCUCCCUUCCAUUCCACCCCCUUUGUACACGAGCGGAAGCUGUCCCGAGAUGACAAGCGAAAGGAAUUCCAAGGAAGGGGCAGCGUCAGCUCCCAGUGACCGCCGGCCUUCUUUCCCUCCACCCUCUACCUACAAGUUCUUCCGUGCCUCCACUGGGCUGAUCCCUGUAGAGAGGCCGGUUCGUCGUCCCCUUCAUACCUGGACGACCGCCCCGAACGACGCUCCGAUGGGAGAUCGGAUGAGAGCGAGGUGCUCAUGGCCAUAGAGAGAGACGACUGUGAUCCAGCACCUCCAUGAUUGCUCGACUGCCCCGCCCAUUUAUGAUACAUUAUUUUUUUAUCCUUCUUGCCAGCGUCCUUGCGGAAAGUUUUCCGAUGCCAAACCGACCUACAGCGCUCACGACUCUUGACAGUCUAGGCGUCUAGCCGAAGCUGCAGCCCUACAAGAGACGCUCAUCAGUUUUCAACGAAGAUGUGCAAAGUGCAAGAAUGUGCUGUGAAGGAUGGAGCCCGUCCCUGCAUUGUUUUGUCCAUUGAGUCAGCCUACCGAAGGUGUCCGCUGCAGGCAACCUCUAUGCUCUAUCAUUCUUGCUAUAAGGUUUGCAAUAUUGAUGCCAUGGUUCUAUAGAAAACCUAAAAAUAUACCAUUAUAUGUAACUUAAUUGUUUGGGAUGGUGAAACGAGGAUCAUUUUCAGUGUGUUAUUCUGCUCGCCAAAGUUCAGCAUUCUUGUGCCAUCAACAUUGCAAUGGAUAGUGUGAUGAAGAAUGUUUCUUUAGAGCCUCAGAUUUUUUUUUGGAUAAUCAUCAAAACAAGUUCGUCACAGAAACCUGUUUUUUCAAGGUACGUGGUUUAGAAUUUAGCUUGGGACUUGUGACUUCCUACUUUGUUCUAGCAUGAACAUAAUGGCCUCCCAAUGUUGUUUGAGUCUCCUAUGUUGAAUUGCUAUAAUCUAUUCUCCCGUUACAUAGGGCUAAAAGAAUGUAUAGAAGGUUUCUGCAUCAUACUACGUUACGAGCUAUACAUGUAUGAAACGAAGACAUGCUAGGAAGUAUUUGUAUAUUUCAUUUCAUAUCAUAUCAUAUUUGUGUUGGUUUGACGUACAAUAAGCUCUCUACAUGAACUUUGAUUUUUCCACUCAUGGUUAUUGGGUAGUAAUAUUUUGAGCCCUGUUGUGCCAAAGUGAGCUCUCUCUUGCUAUCCAUGUUGAUGCUUGGUUCUGUACUACAAGCUACCGCUACUCUCCCCCUCUCUUCGAUCUGGAUCCGGAAGAGGGAGCAGCAUUUUCUUCAAAAUAAGAAGAUUAUAUUGGUCAUGGAAAACAAUCAUCAUUGUGAUUGUUCGUGUACAAGCUAUUCUUCUUUUUGUUGACUUUUGUUUCUGGUUAUAAGAAGGUCCACAAGGGCAUGAAUUAAGAUGCCACAGGUAUGUUGAUUAUACAUUAGCCCACUGUUUCAGAUAUCAAUUGGCAUCAAAGAGUAACUUCAGAUUAGUUGGUCUUUUCAAAUUGCAUAGGUCAUGUAAGCCUACGACCAACUCCUGAAAAUUUGUACUCCAACAUAGAGUGUAUUGGUCUUAGGUACUUCUGCGAUGAUGUCAUAUGUUUCCGUACAAAUAUGAUAUGUUUAUAGGUUCGUAGUCUCACAUCAAAUUUCCACUAAUUUCUCUCAUAUACUCUGAUCCUGGCUGCUAUUGUGGGCAAAAAUGUCUGGAACUGACGACAAGCGUGUCCUUUAUAAUCAACUGAUUAAUAUUUCCUUCCAUUGUUUAUAUUUUUCAGGGUUCACUUUCUACUGAAUGCAUCAGGUUCCUUCCCCUUUUUGGGUUUGAGUUUUUGGUCCCAAGAGAAUUUAGAUGGCUGCCUCUGAAGUGCAAAUGUUGCCAAUGUUCUUUUGCUGAAACAAUGACCGACAUCUACUGGAAGUCUGGAAGAUCAAGUUGGUUGCCCAUUUUUACACUGGAGCUUUUGAUGCCUAGAAAAUGAGAGGAGAAAGAAACACGCUUAAGCAAUCAACUCAAAAUUCAUCAGCUACCGGUUUUGUGGGAUUCCAGUAUUUAGACUACUUAGAAGAUGGUCCACUUAUAUAGACAUAAUGUAUAUAGUUUAGAUGCAUGGACCGUGUAUCCAAACUUCUUUGCUGUUCUUUGUCAGUUAGUGGUGUUGGAGACUAUUUUCUUUAUUUCUGUUUUCUGUGCCAUGUACUGCUAUAUGUAGUUGAAAUUACAUAAUGAAUCAAAGUAUGUCCUCUCUAUCUCUUA